CCUCCCAGCUUCAAGCAAUGCUCCCACCUUGGCCUCCCAAAGUGCUGGGAUUACAGGCAUGAACCACCAUGCCUGGCCCAUUGCACUUCAGCUGGUUCUCCUGAACCAUGAAUAAUCUUAGGAAAGAUUGUAUUUUCAGGAAUUAAAUCUAGUGGAGACGCAGCAGGACUCCACAGACAGCUAGAUUUGGAUAAAAUGUAGACCGCCUCAAGGCCAGUGUAUUGACUUCUGACCAGUCUCAUCUGAACCCACACCCUUUAAUAUAUAUACAAAACACCCUGAAGGGUUGGGCUGCCAGCUUUCUUUAGGAUAACAGAGGGCAGGUUAAGUUUGUUUGACAUAACUAGAAGAGGCAGAGCCUCUUCCUAAUGGAGCAAGGUCCAUUUAUGGCAAGUUGUGGUCCCCGACCACUACCAGCUACUUCUGGAUAGCUUUUGCUUAGAGCUGAUGAGAUAUUGUUUCUUUCA